GUUCAUCUCAUCCACAGCUCCACCCAACAAUGGCUAGAAGAAGUGUGGUCUUAAGCACCGCCAAGAUGAUGAAAUCUACAGACGUGGAACUCUAUCGAUAUUUGUGAAUGCUUGGCGCCAUGUAUAAGAGUACUGAGCUACGAAGCGGGCACAACUGUUCUCCAUGGCGGCGGCAAGGGGCCAGCUAAU